rnacentral:misc_RNA from 1 species
AAGUCGUAACAAGGUUUCCGUAGGUGAACCUGCGGAAGGAUCAUUAACACGUAUCCACGUAUCAACCAACUGUGAACUUGUUUUCAAUCGCCCUGCCGGCUACAUGAAUUGAAGGAGCAGAGAUAAUGAAAUGGGAACUUCGGUCCAGUCUCUAUUCCUAACUUGCACCUUCGGGUGCAGACGAUUGUAGUGGUCGGUCAGGUCAAUCUUUCUGCUUGAAUCUUCUCCUUUCAUGAAGAUUCAGGUGGGAAUCAACACACCUAUUUCACCACCUUUUUGCUAGUUGACUUUUAUAUGUGGUAUUCUUCGCAAGAAGAACUCACACGUUUUUAAUUGAACGUUAAAUGUACAACUCUUAGCAAUGGAUAUCUUGGUUCUC